AGAAGAUGGCCCAAGAACAGGCACCAUCUCCAUCCUCAGUUUGGGUAAAGUCUGUGAUGAUGAAGGAGCGCAUCUAGGCACUCAUCGACCGGGGUCUCCUGGGACCCAAGGCACUGCUCGAAUGGAAGGCGACCCCUGGGCUAGAAUUCCCCAGUGAAGACAGGAUGGAGACGGUGGUCUUUGCAUCUUUCUUUGAGCACGGAUUUAGGAUCCCUUGCGGGGACUUCUUUCGCGGAUUGCUGAAC
rnacentral:lncRNA from 1 species